AUUGAACGCUGGCGGCAGGCCUAACACAUGCAAGUCGAGCGAGUGGCGGACGGGUGAGUAAUGUCUGGGGAACUGCCUGAUAGAGGGGGAUAACUACUGGAAACGGUAGCUAAUACCGCAUACCAUCGGAUGUGCCCAGAGGGGAUUAGCUAGUAGGUGGGGUAAAGGCUCCCCGAGGCGACGAUCCCUAGCUGGUCUGAGAGGAUGACCAGCCACACUGGAACUGAGACACGGUCCAGACUCCUACGGGAGGCAGCAGUGGGGAAUAUUGCACAAUGGGCGCAAGCCUGAUGCAGCCAUGCCGCGUGUAUGAAGAAGGCCUUAGGGUUGUAAAGUACUUUCAGCGGGGAGGCGUUACCCGCAGAAGAAGCACCGGCUAACUCCGUGCCAGCAGCCGCGGUAAUUC
rnacentral:rRNA from 1 species